UGUAGCGGUCUCUGCCGUUCCUUGGAAGCACAGCUCCCCUUCCCCGCCCGUCCCAGUCCCCGUCCGGCCGCGGACAUAAAGAUGAGUAGCUCUGAGGAGGUGCCCUGGAUUUCCUGGUUCUGUGGGCUCCGUGGUAAUGAAUUCUUCUGUGAGGUGGAUGAAGACUACAUCCAGGACAAAUUCAAUCUUUCUGGACUCAAUGAGCAGGUGCUUCACUAUCGACAAGCUCUAGACAUGAUCUUGGACCUGGAACCUGAUGAAGAGCUGGAAGACAACCCCAACCAGAGCGACUUGAUUGAACAGGCAGCCGAGAUGCUUUACGGGUUGAUCUACGCCCGCUACAUCCUCACCAACCGAGGCAUCGCACAAAUGUUGGAAAAGUACCAGCAGGGAGACUUCGGCUACUGUCCUCGUGUGUACUGUGAGAACCAGCCGAUGCUUCCCAUCGGCCUUUCAGACAUCCCCGGUGAGGCCAUGGUGAAGCUCUACUGCCCCAAGUGCAUGGAUGUGUACACCCCCAAGUCCUCCAGGCACCACCACACGGAUGGCGCAUACUUCGGCACUGGUUUCUCUCACAUGCUCUUCAUGGUGCAUCCAGAGUACCGGCCCAAGCGAUCUGCCAACCAACUCGUACCCAGGCUCUACGGCUUCAAGAUCCAUCCCAUGGCUUACCAGCUGCAGCUCCAAGCCGCCAGCAACUUCAAGAGCCCAGUCAAGACUAUUCGCUGAUUGCCCACCCACCUCUCCCUGUCUGUGACACCACCAUUCCUCCGCUGCCAUCCUUUCAGGAAGUCUAUGGUUUUUAGUUUAAAUUGAAGGAAUUGUUACUGUGGUGGGAAUGUGAAAUAAAGGAAGAAAAGG